rnacentral:snRNA from 1 species
CCCAGUUCCGAACCCGUCGG